ACGAAAAGGAGUGUUAUCUUAAGCCAAUGAAAUUCUAAUCCUGUAUUAUAUGAAAAAAUGAAGAAAGCUAUCCAAUUCUCGGAUAGAAACUAUUUUUUCGGACGGGAUUCGUAUGUUCAUUUCGCAUGAUAACUCUUGCUACAGGCCUUUUUUUGGCGUAGCCUCGCGGAUUCCU
rnacentral:ncRNA from 2 species